rnacentral:rRNA from 1 species
AGGACGAACGCUGGCGGCGUGCUUAACACAUGCAAGUCGAACGGUAGGGCCCCUUCGGGGGUACACGAGUGGCGAACGGGUGAGUAACACGUGGGUAAUCUGCCCUGCACUUCGGGAUAAGCCUGGGAAACUGGGUCUAAUACCGGAUAUGAACUCCUGCCGCAUGGUGGGGGUUGGAAAGUUUUUCGGUGCAGGAUGAGCCCGCGGCCUAUCAGCUUGUUGGUGGGUAAUGGCCUACAGGCGACGACGGGUAGCCGGCCUGAGAGGGUGAUCGGCCACACUGGGACUGAGACACGGCCCAGACUCCGUACGGGAGCGAGCGAGGUGGGGAAUAUUGCACGAAGUGGGACGAAAGCCUGAUGCAGCGACGCCGGCGGUGGGGA